rnacentral:rRNA from 1 species
AACGAACGCUGGCGGCAGGCCUAACACAUGCCAGUCGAGCGAGGACUUCGGUCCUAGCGGCGGACGUGGGAGUAACGCGUGGGAACGUGCCCUUUGCUUCGGUAUACCCCUGGGAAACUGGGCGUAAUACCGGAUGAGCCCUUUGGGGGAAAGAUUUAUCGGCGAAGGAUCGGCCCGUGUUGGAUUCGGUAGUUGGUGGGGUAAUGGCCUACCAAGCCGACGAUCCAUAGCUGGUUUGGGAGGAUGCCCAGCCACAAUGGGGCUGAGACACGGCCCAGACUCCUACGGGAGGCAGGAGUGGGGAAUCUUAGGGGAGGGGGGAAACCGUGAUCUAGCCAUGCCGGGUGAGAGAUGAAGGGCUUAGGGUUGUAAUGCUGUUUGAGCUGGGAAGAUAAUGACGGUAACGGGAGAAGAAGCCCCGGCUAACUCCGUG